UAGUACUUCUAAAUCAUGGAAGGCGAAAAAGGAAAAAAGCAAAAUCUAAGUCGAUUUUCCCACAGAAUUUGGGAAAUAGCAUUGGAAACUACGGAACACACUUGUUUUUGUCUGAUCAUUUUUUUUAUCACUAAUCAAUAAUCAAUUAGCAUUUAAUGAUCUAUUAUUACAAAGUUUAUAAUUAAUUUAGUGCUAAUGAAAAUCACCCUUUGUGUUUUCUAGAAAAAAGUUUCGAACUUGCCGUGAAAGAAAAAAGAAGGGAACAUCAAGAUCAAAUAAGACAAGUAUAUGGAACUUGGGUGGAUUUUGUGAAAGUCUAUGCAGAGAAGAUUUAUUGAUUUGGCCUAAGCAUCAUUGAAGAUUGAUUGAUUAUUGCUUUGAUCUUGGUGUCUCUUAUCCGUGUAAAUUAGUUUGAAGAGAUAUCUGCAGCUCAAGAUCAGCUGGAGAUCAAGUUUAGGUUAACCGAUGGCUCAGAUAUUGGCCCGAGAAACUUCCCUAUGGCCACGAGUAUCGCUACCUUGAAGGAGAAUAUCAUAGCAGAAUGGCCUACAGAGAAAGAAGACUGGCCGCAUACAGUAAAAGACAUCAAGUUGAUCAGUGCAGGGAGGGUACUGGAGAACAGCAGAAGUGUGGGCGAAUGCAGGAGCCAGUUGUAUGAUAUCCCUGGAGGCGUCACCAUGCACGUUGUCGUUCAAACACACGAAACAAAACCACAAACUGAUCCGAAGCAGAGCAAAUGCGCGUGUGUGAUAUUAUGAUAUGCAGACUGAUAGGCUCUUAGCUCCAUCUACUUGAGUUAGAGAUUGUUGGAGAGACCAUGAUGAAUGUUUCUUUUGCUUUUUUAUAAUUUCCUUGUGAUAUAUUGGAAUCUUGGUUUAGUUUACUUCUCUACUUGUUUUCCUCGUA